CGAAGGAUUCGAGCGUUAUCCGAAUUUAUUGGGUUUAAAGGGUGCGUAGGUGGACUAAUAAGUCAGUGGUGAAAGCCCGCAGCUUAACUGCGGAACUGCCAUUGAUACUGUUAGUCUUGAGUACAGUUGAGGUGGGCGGAAUGUGUCAUGUAGCGGUGAAAUGCUUAGAUAUGACACAGAACACCGAUUGCGAAGGCAGCUCACUAAGCUGUAACUGACACUGAGGCACGAAAGCGUGGGGAGCAAACAGGAUUAGAUACCCUGGUAGUCCACGCCCUAAACGAUGAUUACUCGAUGUUGGCGAUACACUGUCAGCGUCUAAGCGAAAGCAUUAAGUAAUCCACCUGGGGAGUACGACCGCAAGGUUG
rnacentral:rRNA from 1 species